AUUGAACGCUGGCGGCAGGCCUAACACAUGCCAGUCGAACGGUAACAGGAAGCAGCUUGCUGCUUCGCUGACGAGUGGCGGACGGGUGAGUAAUGUCUGGGAAGCUGCCUGAUGGAGGGGGAUAACUACUGGAAACGGUAGCUAAUACCGCAUAAUGUCGCAAGACCAAAGAGGGGGACCUUCGGGCCUCUUGCCAUCGGAUGUGCCCAGAUGGGAUUAGCUUGUUGGUGGGGUAACGGCUCACCAAGGCGACGAUCCCUAGCUGGUCUGAGAGGAUGACCAGCCACACUGGAACUGAGACACGGUCCAGACUCCUACGGGAGGCAGCAGUGGGGAAUAUUGCACAAUGGGCGCAAGCCUGAUGCAGCCAAGCCGCGUGUAUGAAGAAGGCCUUCGGGUUGUAAAGUACUUUCAGCGGGGAGGAAGGGAGUAAAGUUAAUACCUUUGCUCAUUGACGUUACCCGCAGAAGAAGCACCGGCUAACUCCGUG
rnacentral:rRNA from 1 species